rnacentral:tRNA from 4 species
GCGCCCGUAGCUCAGUGGUAGAGCAUCCGCCUUUUAAGCGGGUGGCCGCGCGUUCGAAUCGCGCCGGGCGCACCA